AAUCCAUAGGUUAAUGAGGCGAACCGGGGGAACUGAAACAUCUAAGUACCCCGAGGAAAAGAAAUCAACCGAGAUUCCCCCAGUAGCGGCGAGCGAACGGGGAGGAGCCCAGAGCCUGAAUCAGCAUGUGUGUUAGUGGAAGCGUCUGGAAAGGCGCGCGAUACAGGGUGACAGCCCCGUACACAAAAGCGCAUGUGCUGUGAGCUCGAUGAGUAGGGCGGGACACGUGGUAUCCUGUCUGAAUAUGGGGGGACCAUCCUCCAAGGCUAAAUACUCCUGACUGACCGAUAGUGAACCAGUACCGUGAGGGAAAGGCGAAAAGAACCCCGGCGAGGGGAGUGAAAAAGAACCUGAAACCGUGUACGUACAAGCAGUGGGAGCCCCACCACCAAAGCAUUCUCUGGUGUUGAAGGCCCUGCAAAGCAGCAUCGCGGUGGCGGAGCGUCGUUUGCGACGCCCAACACACAAAACAAACGGUGAGUGCUUUGGGGUGGGGUGACUGCGUACCUUUUGUAUAAUGGGUCAGCGACUUAUAUUCUGUAGCAAGGUUAACCGAAUAGGGGAGCCGGAGGGAAACCGAGUCUUAAU
rnacentral:rRNA from 1 species